GGUCCGAGCGGCGACGGGUGAGUAACACGUGAGCAACCUGCCCCUGACUCUGGGAUAAGCGGUGGAAACGCCGUCUAAUACCGGAUACGACCCGCCACCUCAUGGUGGAGGGUGGAAAGUUUUUCGGUCAGGGAUGGGCUCGCGGCCUAUCAGCUUGUUGGUGGGGUAACGGCCUACCAAGGCGAUUACGGGUAGCCGGCCUGAGAGGGCGACCGGCCACACUGGGACUGAGACACGGCCCAGACUCCUGCGGGAGGCAGCAGUGGGGAAUAUUGCGCAAUGGGCGAAAGCCUGACGCAGCGACGCCGCGUGGGGGAUGACGGCCUUCGGGUUGUAAACCUCUUUUACCACCAACGCAGGCUCGAAGUUUUCUUGGGGUUGACGGUAGGUGGGGAAUAAGGACCGGCUAACUACGUGCCAGCAGCCGCGGUAAUACGUAGGGUCCGAGCGUUGUCCGGAAUUAUUGGGCGUAAAGAGCUCGUAGGCGGCGUGUCGCGUCUGCUGUGAAAGACCGGGGCUUAACUCCGGUUCUGCAGUGGAUACGGGCAUGCUAGAGGUAGGUAGGGGAGACUGGAAUUCCUGGUGUAGCGGUGAAAUGCGCAGAUAUCAGGAGGAACACCGGUGGCGAAGGCGGGUCUCUGGGCCUUACCUGACGCUGAGGAGCGAAAGCAUGGGGAGCGAACAGGAUUAGAUACCCUGGUAGUCCAUGCCGUAAACGUUGGGCGCUAGGUGUGGGGACUUUCCACGGUUUCCGCGCCGUAGCUAACGCAUUAAGCGCCCCGCCUGGGGAGUACGGCCGCAAGGCUAAAACUCAAAGGAAUUGACGGGGGCCCGCACAAGCGGCGGAGCAUGUUGCUUAAUUCGACGCAACGCGAAGAACCUUACCAAGGUUUGACAUCACCCGUGGACUCGCAGAGAUGUGAGGUCAUUUAGUUGGCGGGUGACAGGUGGUGCAUGGCUGUCGUCAGCUCGUGUCGUGAGAUGUUGGGUUAAGUCCCGCAACGAGCGCAACCCUUGUUCCAUGUUGCCAGCACGUAAUGGUGGGGACUCAUGGGAGACUGCCGGGGUCAACUCGGAGGAAGGUGGGGAUGACGUCAAGUCAUCAUGCCCCUUAUGUCUUGGGCUGCAAACAUGCUACAAUGGCCGGUACAAUGGGCGUGCGAUACCGUAAGGUGGAGCGAAUCCCUAAAAGCCGGUCUCAGUUCGGAUUGGGGUCUGCAACUCGACCCCAUGAAGGUGGAGUCGCUAGUAAUCGCGGAUGAGCAACGCCGCG
rnacentral:rRNA from 1 species